AACCUUUUUCGUUGGGGUAAUGGGUGGUCCUUUAGUGAUUUAGUUGGAUGCAUCACUUGGGGAGAGGGCGUGCUUGGGGCGUUGGCCCUAUCUUUCCGGUCCUUUCGUACUGGGAAAGGUUAAUCAUAGAUAGAAACCGACCUGGAUUGCUCCGGUCUGAACUCAGAUCACGUAGGACUGUUAAUCGUUGAACAAACGAACCCUUAGUAGCGGCUGCACCACUAGGAUGUCCUGAUCCAACAUCGAGGUCGUAAACCUCCUCGUCGAUAGGGGCUCUUGGGGGAGAUUGCGCUGUUAUCCCUGGGGUAGCUUGGUUCAUUGGUCAGUUUUACUGGGUCUGGGCGCUGUUGGCACGUUGAGGGGUUGCUCUUAGUUAAGGGGUCUGGCCUUAUUUUUGGAGGGUUUGUUUUUCUCCAAGGUCGCCCCAACCUAAAAAUAUUAGCCAGUGUUUUUGGGUAGUGGGCCUGGUGGGUUUGUAGGUUGGAUGUGGUGGCUAUUGAUUUUAAAGUUCCACAGGGUCUUCUCGUCUUAUGUGUUUAUCUCUGCUUUUGUACAGAGAGAUCAGUUUCACUGAUUGUCUGCAGGAGACAGUUAAGGCCUCGUUUAGCCGUUCAUACAGGUCUCGAUUUAUGGGACAAUUGAUUGCGCUACCUUUGCACGGUUAGGAUACCGCGGCCGUUAAACGUGUGUCACUGGGCAGGCAUCACCUUCAAUACUUGUUUGGCUGAAGGCUAUGUUUUUGGUAAACAGUCGGGUCUUAGGUUUGCCGAGUUCCUUCUGCAGAUUAUAAUCGUCCUAGUGUGCGCUCCUGGGUUGGUCUGACAGGGUGUGUUCAAUGUUUGGUCGGGGGUGUGGUAUUGUAGUUGUGCUGUUAAUGGUGUUUAGGUUGACGCUUUAGGGGGCUUGGUGCCCUGGUUACUCGUUUUAGCAUUGAUUCAUCUACUGUUGUAGGUUGACCUGUUAUGGGUUCAGGGAUUUACGUUGUUUUUGGAUUUUUUAGUCCGUAGAGCUUUGACGCGUUCUUUAAGGGUGGCUGCUUUAAGGCCCACGGGGGUUGGGUUGGGGUGGGGUUAUCCACUGGUGGAGGUUGUAUCCUUUUUUAAAGGGGCUGUACCCCCUUUAAAUAGCUCUUAGCCCAUUGCAUGGGGACUUGGUUGGUUUGUCUUGGGGAAGGGGCUGAGGGAGAACUUAGAUUCGUUUUACAGGUAACCAGCUAUCACCCAGCUCGGUUGGCUUUUCACCUCUACUAACAAGUCGUCCCACUCUUUUGCAACAGAGACGGGUUAGCUCGGGGUAGCUGCCUGUUAGUAGCUCGCUUAGGUUUCGGGGUGGCAGGCUUAAGCUCACUUUGCCUGAUUGUUCUUGCUAAAUCAUGAUGCAAGAGGUACAAGGGUUUAUCUUUGCUAUGUGGUGCUUGGUUUUCAUUGUUAUUUCAUCUUUCCCUUACGGUACUUUUUCUAUGGCGUCCGGGUUGCUUUUCUAUCGCCUAUACUGGGCUAGGUGAUAAUGUUUUGGGUUGAGUGUGGUGGUGGGUUCUUGAUUGUGGUUGGUGGAGCUAGGGUAGGCUU
rnacentral:rRNA from 1 species